rnacentral:rRNA from 1 species
CACGUGGGAAACUUGCCCUUCGGUGGGGGAUAAGCUCUCGAAAGGGGGUCUAAUACCGCAUAACAUCGGAAGAUCGCAUGGUCUACCGAUCAAAGCAGCAAUGCACCGGAGGAUAGUCCCGCGCCUGAUUAGCUUGUUGGUAGGGUAAAAGCCUACCAAGGCGACGAUCAGUAGCCGGCCUGAGAGGGUGAUCGGCCACACUGGGACUGAGAUACGGCCCAGACUCCUACGGGAGGCAGCAGUAGGGAAUAUUGCGCAAUGGCCUAACGGCUGACGCAGCAACGCCGCGUGGAUGAUGAAGCUUUUCGGAGUGUAAAAUCCUUUCAGCAGGGAAGAAUAUCUUGACGGUACCUGCAGAAGAAGUCCCGGCCAACUCCGUGCCAGCAGCCGCGGUAACACGGGGGGGACAAGCGUUGUUCGGAUUCACUGGGCGUAAAGCGCUCGUAGGUGGGCUGGAUAGUCGGAUGUGAAAUCCUGAGGCUUAACUUCAGGCCUGCAUCCGAAACUGCCAGUCUUGAGUACUGGAGAGGGUGGCGGAAUUCCUGGUGUAGCGGUGAAAUGCGUAGAUAUCAGGAGGAACACCGAUGGCGAAGGCAGCCACCUGGACAGAUACUGACACUGAGGGGCGAAGGCUAGGGUAGCAAACAGGAUUAGAUACCCUGGUAGUCCUAGCGGUAAACGAUGGGCACUAGGUGUUGGCGGUAUCGACCCCGCCAGUGCCGCAGCAAACGCAUUAAGUGCCCCGCCUGGGGAGUACGGUCGCAAGAUUGAAACUCAAAGGAAUUGACGGGGGCCCGCACAAGCGGUGGAGUAUGUGGUUCAAUUCGACGCAACGCGCAGAACCUUACCUGGGCUUGACAUAUACCGGAAAGCCACAGAGAUGUGGUUCCUCCUUCGGGAGUCGGUAUACAGGUGCUGCAUGGUUGUCGUCAGCUCGUGUCGUGAGAUGUUGGGUUAAGUC